UCUUGCAUGAGCAGGAGGGUGGCGUGCCUUGUGCCGUUGUACCACUGCUGGCUGCUUGCAUGCUUGCAGUAUCAUGAUGAUGGCCUUUUUGGUGCCUGCAGUCUAACCGGACUUGUCCUAUUUGCCGUGGAGAUGCCAGCGAAUUUCUUAAAGAGGCCACCAGUGCUGAGUGAAGCAGGAUG